CCANGUGUAGCGGUGAAAUGCGUAGAUAUAUGGAGGAACNCCAGUGGCGAAAGCGGCUCUCUGGUCUGUCACUGACGCUGAGGCUCGAAAGCGUGGGUAGCGANCAGGAUUAGAUACCCUGGUAGUCCACGCCGUAAACGAUGAGUGCUAGGUGUUAGGCCCUUUCCGGGGCUUAGUGCCGGAGCUAACGCAAUAAGCACUCCGCCUGGGGAGUACGACCGCAAGGUUGAAACUCAAAGGAAUUGACGGGGGCCCGCACAAGCGGUGGAGCAUGUGGUUUAAUUCGAAGCAACGCGAAGAACCUUACCAGGUCUUGACAUCCCGAUGCUAUUCUUAGAGAUAGGAAGUUACUUCGGUACAUCGGAGACAGGUGGUGCAUGGUUGUCGUCAGCUCGUGUCGUGAGAUGUUGGGUUAAGUCCCGCAACGAGCGCAACCCUUAUUGUUAGUUGCCAUCAUUAAGUUGGGCACUCUAGCGAGACUGCCGGUAAUAAACCGGAGGAAGGUGGGGAUGACGUCAAAUCAUCAUGCCCCUUAUGACCUGGGCUACACACGUGCUACAAUGGUCGGUACAACGAGUUGCGAGCCGGUGACGGCAAGCUAAUCUCUGAAAGCCGAUCUCAGUUCGGAUUGGAGGCUGCAACUCGCCUCCAUGAAGUCGGAAUCGCUAGUAAUCGCGGAUCAGCACGCCGCGGUGAAUACGUUCCCGGGCCUUGUACACACCGCCCGUCACACCACGAGAGUUUGUAACACCCGAAGUCGGUGAGGUAACCUUUUAGGGNCCA
rnacentral:rRNA from 1 species